AAUAAAAAUAAUACUAAGAUGGCAAAAAAAUUUCUGCAUUCCAACUCAAAUGCCAGCCAGACUCCAGGAAUAAACAUAUUAUCAGCCCUUCUCUGUCUGCUGUAUGGGACCCUUUGUUAGAAAAAUGCUGCUGGAUUUAUUUCUCAGUCUUGUUUGCACACCAAGAGAAUAACCUUCACGCAAACAGGGAUUAUAUAUUACGCUGUUUUGUUCUUUGAGCUGUACAUCAGGACACAUAUAAAAGUGUGGUGUGGUUUUCCUCUCCCCAGAUAGGAAUUUUACCAGCCCUUUUGUUAAGGAGUUUGUUGUUGUUGUGGUUGAGAUGUGCACCACAGGAGGUUGCUUUGCUGUAUCCCCUUGUUGGGAGGAGGAUGGAGUGGGCAGAACUUAUUUAGACAGCUCUCGGAGAGCGUGGGCCCGGCCAUGGUCCACCUGCUUUCUCCCUCCUGUGUAGGACAGAGCUGAGCUGAAGUCGAAGCUACCCCAGCCUGGACCCACUGGGGCCCUCUGGCCCCGCCUGAUUGAAGAUGCCCGUUCACAGCCCUGUAACUGGACUCCAGGACAAGACUCCCAUGUCUCUCCUUUGGGGAUGGGGCUUUCUCAUUGGAAAUGCUGGAAGAUGGGCCGCUGUUCCUGGUAACCUUCACAUCCGUCGCCACAGUUGUCUCCAAUGCAGUCCUAACACAUCAGUCCCUUCCCCAGUUUCGGUGGUGGUGCGGUCCGUGGUGGUCCACAAGUAGACGAUCCUCUUUCUGACGAAUCAUAAGAAGGUCAAUGAGUAGUCUAACUCUACGCCGUCGCAAUGCCUACGUCAUUCACCGCGCUUCAUCUGGGUGUGUAGGGAUUUUCUUCUCUAACGUCGCUGCGAGAAGCGUGAGUGUAGUCCGA